UAUAAAAUUGGAAAGACUAGA
rnacentral:piRNA from 1 species